CAUCUGAUAAGGGUUAUUAAUUCAGAGUAUAUAAAGAACUACAACUCAACAUCUAGAAAAACAACCCAGUUUAAAAAUUGGCAAAUGAUUUGAAUAGAUGUUUCUCUAGAGAAGAUAUACAGUGAGCACAUGAAAAGAUAUUUUGCAUCACUAGUCAUUGGAGAAAUGCAAAUCAAACUGACUUCACAGCCAAAUGAAUGGCUACUUAAAAAAAACACCAGCCCUGAAAAUAACAAGUGUUGAUGAGGAUAUGGAGAAAUUGAAACCUUUGUGUACUACUGAUGGGAAUUUAAAAUUGUGCAGAUGGAAUGGAAAAUAGUAUAGCAGUUCCUCAAAAAGUUAAAGGCACAAUUAUCAUAUGACCUAGCAGUUUCUAGUAUAUAUCCAAAAGAAUUGAAAGCAGGGUCUCAGAAAUAUUUAUACACCCAUGUUCAUAACAGCAUUAUGCACAAUUACUAAAACUCGAAAACAACUUGUGUUCAUUGAUGGACCAAUGGAUGAAUAAAAGGAAGGCAAUCCUGUCACAUGUUACAACAUGGAUAAACCUUGAGGAUAUGCUAAGUGAAACAAGCCAAUUACAAAAGACAAAUACUCUAUGAUUCUACUUGUAUCAGGUAUUUAAAUAUUCAGAACAAAUUCUUAAGGACAGUAGAAUGGUGGUUGCCAGGGCUUGGAUGGGUGAUGAGUUGUUUAGUGGGUACAGAGUUUCUGUUUUGAAAAAUGAAAAGAAUUCUGAAGGUUGGUUGCACAGCAGUGUGAAUGUACUUAAUGUUACCUCUAGGUAGGGGGCAGUGGAACUGGAUUGGAAAGGAGCACAUAGGUUAAAGCUAUGUAACAUUUCAAAAUAUACAUACAAGAGACACCCGAGUUACUUUCAUUUGCAUGACAGCUACAAAAGCCCAUCCUUGGCUGUGGUGAUUACAGUUGUCUCCUUGAUGUUUGUUCUUAAAUAGCUGAAACUGGUAAUAUUCGUAAAGAUCCCAACUUAAAGUGUCUUUUCAUGUAAAACUUUAAUUACACUCUCUGUUCUACCUGAUAA
ensembl:lncRNA